AGCAGCCGCGGUAAUUCCAGCUCCAAUAGCGUAUAUUAAAGUUGUUGCAGUUAAAAAGCUCGUAGUUGAAUUUCGGGAUCAAUUUAUUGGUCGUGCUAUCGUACGUACUGGUAUUAUUGAUUCCUACCUUCUGACGAACCAUGAUGUCAUUAAUUUGGUGUCAUGGGGAAUCAGGACUGUUACUUUGAAAAAUUAGAGUGUUUAAAGCAGGCUCACGCUUGAAUACAUUAGCAUGGAAUAACGAAAUAGGACAUUUGAUUCUAUUUUGUUGGUUUCUAGGAUCGACGUAAUGAUUAAUAGGGGUAGUUGGGGGCAUUAGUAUUCAAUUGUCAGAGGUGAAAUUCUUGGAUAUAUUGAAGACUAACUACUGCGAAAGCAUUUGCCAAGGAUGUUUUCAUUAAUCAAGAACGAAAGUUAGGGGAUCGAAGACGAUCAGAUACCGUCGUAGUCUUAACCAUAAACUAUGCCGACUAGGGAUCGGAUGAUGUUAAUUUUUAAUGACUCAUUC
rnacentral:rRNA from 1 species